UGGAUUUUGUUUGCUUGUUUUCACGUCAGAAUCUACCAACAAGUUGGUGACCUUGGUUUGUUUCUGUUCAAUGAUGCACUUGUGGUAACGACACUGACUUUCAAGUUUGUUCCUUUUCAAAGACUUGUUCAACGAAACUAUAAGUUCCAAGCAUGUUUGACGUUAAAGAAGUUGCAAGUGGAGAACCUAGCGGAUUCAAAAUAUGUAAAAAAUGCGUUUACCAUCGUAUCGCCGAAGAAACUGUGGUUCUGCCAGGCACACUCUUGGGAACAGAAAUUCCAGUGGAUUUCAGUGUUAGAAAGUUCAAUUAAUGCUGCUUUGGAAAAAUCUUAGCAUCUGCAUUCAAAAAUAUCAAUUACGAUUGCGACAAUUCUGAGACCGCACAUUGAUUUAUAUCUGUGUGAUCGCUGUAAUUAUUGCCAUAACUUAGCUAUUGACUGUUGAUGAACUUCCAAUCUGAUUGGUACAUAAUACUAUCUAUCUAUCGCCAGACCGUCGGUCUUGGUGCGCACGCGCUGCUCGGCAUUAAUGCAUAAGAGUAUUAGUAUCACCCAACUAGUGGACUGAUGCAAAUCCUGCAUUUUAAUUGGCUACGCUACUAG